rnacentral:rRNA from 1 species
GAUCUCAGCACCAUGCUACCCUGAACAAGCCUGACCUGUCUGAUCUCAGAAGCUAAGCAGGGUCGGGCCUGGUUAGUACUUGGAUGGGAGACCACCUAGGAAGACCAGGUGCUGUAGGCA